rnacentral:rRNA from 1 species
GAUGACUCUCGGCAACGGAUAUCUCGGCUCUCGCAUCGAUGAAGAACGUAGCGAAAUGCGAUACCUGGUGUGAAUUGCAGAAUCCCGUGAACCAUCGAGUCUUUGAACGCAAGUUGCGCCCGAGGCCAUCCGGCUAAGGGCACGCCUGCCUGGGCGUCACGCUU